UCAUAUCUUGGGUAUUGCAAAUAAUACUGCAAUGAACCUAGGGGUGUAUAUAUCUUUUCAUUUUAGUGUUUUUAUUUUCUUUGAAUAGAUACCCAGAAGUGGAAUUGCUGGAUCAUAUAUAUGAUAGUUAUAUUUUUUUUAUUUUUUGAGGAACCUCCAUACUGUUUUCUAUAGUGUUUGCCCCAGUUUACAUUCUCACCAACAGUGCCUGAGGGUUCCAUUUUAUCCAUAUCUAUGCCAACACUUUUUAUUUUAUUUAUCAUCUUUUUGAUGAUAGUCACUUGAACAGGUGUGAGGUGCGGAGAUAUCUCAUUGUGGUUUUGAUUUGCAUUUCCCUGAUGAUUAGUUAGGUUGAGCAUUUUUUUAUGUGCCUCUUGGCCAUCUUCAUGUCCUCUUUGGAAAAAACUGUUCUUUUCUUUUCAGAUCCUCUGCUUAUUUUAAAAUCAGACUGUUUGUGAGUUUUGUUGUUGUUAUUAUUGAACUAAGUUCUUUAUAUAUUUUGGAUAUCAUCCCCUUAUUGAAUAUAUAGAUUGCAAAUAUCUUCUCUCAUUCAGUAGGUUGCCUGUUCAGUUUGUUAAUAAUUUUCUUCACUGUACAGAUGCUUUUUAGUUUGAUGUAGUUCUAUUUGUUUAUUUUUGCUUUUGUUGCCAUUGCCUUUGGAGUCAGAUCCAAAAAUUCUUCACUAAGACCAUUAUCAAAGAACUUACCGUCUAUGUUAUUUAUGACUUUAAUGGUUUCAGAUCUCACAUUCAAGUCUUUUAAUCCAUUUUGGGUUUGUGGUGUAAGAUAGUGGUCUAGUUUCAUUCUUUUUUAUGUAGGUAAACAUUUUUCCAAUACUAUUUAUUGUGGAAAUUGUCUUUUUUUAUUGUAUAUUCUUGGUUCCAUUGUCAUAAAUUAAUUGACCAUAUGUUUAGAUUUAUUCCUGGGCUCUUUUUCUGUUCUGUUGAUCUGUGUGUCUCUUUUUAUGAUACUAUUUUACUGUUUGAUUACUGUAGCUUUGUAGUAUAGUAUGAAAAUGGAGCAUACAUCUGGCUUUUUUUUUUUCACUUGAGAUUUCUUUGGCUACUUGGGGUCUUUAUGGUUCCAUACAAAUUUUAGAAUUACUUAUUUUUGUUCUAUGAAAAUGCCACGGGAUUUUGAAAGGAAUUGCAUUGAAUCUGUAGAUUGCUUUGGCUGAUAUGGGCAUUUUUAACAAUAUUACUUCUUCCAUUCCAUGAGCACAGAAUGUCCUUCCAUUUAUUUGUGUCUUCUUCAGUUUCUUUCCAUCAGUGACUUUCAGUUUUCAGUAUAUAGGUCUUUCACCUCCUUAGUUAAAUUUAUUCCUAGGUAUUUUAUUCUUUUUGAUAUAAUUUUAAAUGGAAUUAUUUUCUUGAUUUCUCUUUCUGUUAGUUUAUUAUUAGUGUAUAGAAUGCAAUAGAUUUUAAAGUACUUAUUUUAAGUUAUUUAAAAUACAUCCCAAUCUCACUGGUCUAAGGCAAAUUUUUGAAUACAAAUGUCUAAGGCAAAGCAGACUAAUGAUAAAACAUAUGUUUAUCAUUCUUGGGUACAUGUGAGACCAAAUACACUGAGAAAAAGAGGUGCCACUUGUCUACUUUUAAUAAUGAUAUAAAUAUCACUUAGGAUUGGCAUACUGUUUAUAAACAGCUACAAGAUUUCUGUAUUUUUUUACAUGCCCCAAAUGUGUUUUCCUAAGGAGGAUAAAUAUUCCCACUGAACUCCUACUUAUCCUUCUAAUUUGCUCAUUUUUAAAAUUCUAUAAGUCAAUGAAUUUCAAAUUGACAGAGUUUGAAUUAAUGUGAUUUAGAUCAUAGAUCAAAGACUUAGCAUUUUAAAUGAAAAUACAUUUUCUAUUGUACUUCUAAGGCAGGGAUUUGUGAAGUGUAUAAAGCACACUUCAUAUGAGUAAACAACCUAAAAAUUAUCUAUUCCAUUCAUUUUUAGACUUUUUUUGAGAAAAGAUUUCUACUGUGAGCAAGUUUUUCAUUUGUAAAGGAGCCCAAUAAAUAAGAGCAGAGAAAAGUAGAGUGUUUUGUUUGAAGUGUGAGAUCACCAUCAUUAAGCAAUGACCGCAAUGUAGGACACAGAGAAUUUUUUUUUAAUGUGAUAGGCAUACAUCUUAAUGGUAAAGAGUACUGCAUAUGCAAGGGUACAUUAGAGUGGUAGAGAACGUGUAACUGGGUUCAAAUUGCAACUCUACCAGUAAUUCUGGAAUCCUGAGUGAGCUUCUAUGUAUAAAAUUGGGAAAGUGCCAUUACUUCCUCAUUAUGAUUAUUGGAUACUAAUGUGUUAAUUAGUAUGAAGUUCUAGCAUGAACUAGGCACAUGGAAAGUGCUCAAUACAUGUUAUUUAUUAUUAAUAAUAAUAUUAAUAUUAUUAUGAGAUUAUUAUAACCUGGUAUAUCAUUUAGUUCUAAUUCUUUAAUUUUAUCAACCCUUUUCAACUGUUUCAGGAGGCAUCUACCUUAUUUACACCUGAGUUUCAAUGUCCAAUGAUUCAUUUUGUACGUUGUAGCCUUUUACUAUUGAUUUGCUAUUUAUUAGUUGAUGUAUCGGUAUUCAUUUAUUUGAUGAUAUAUUAUUAUUUACUGAUUUGGUAGUAUUUAGCUGCUUACAUCCCUAAAAUCUAGUUUCCUGGAUUUUAACCAAGUCUCUAUUUUCCAGGUAACUAGGAGGAAAUCUGUCCUUUCUUCUUUCGUCUCCUCAUGCGAUCACUAAUUUUCCUCUCCUAGACCAAAGGAUUGUUGCUUUCUCCCCCACUGCUUCUUUUUUUUUUAAAUGUUGUUUUGUUUUGUUUGAAAGGAAAGAAGAAAGCAUUUUUACCAACUUUACCAAAAUAUACUGUCCAGUGAAGGGUAAUCAUAAGAAAAGAAGAAAAGGGAUUUGCACACAAAAAGACCUGGGUUCAUAUUACCCAAUCUUUCCCUUACUAGCUUUGUAGGUUGGGGCAGAUUACUCACCAUGAGGCUCCUCAGCUUCCUCAUUUGUAUAAUGAGCAUACUGCUAACUUUGUAGAAUGGUAAGGAUGAGAAAACAUGUAUAUCUAGAAUGGAGAGAAUCUUUAAUGUUGACUCUGAUUAUUAUCAUUUCCUGUUUUAUUAUAACAAUUCAUCAUUUAGUUAACAAAUCAAAAGCCACAGUUUAUUUCAAUAUUUAAUUUUCAGUAAAACUGGAGUAUGCUUAAUCAUCACACAUAAUUUGAAACUGGCAAAAGCUAAGCUCAGAAUUUCCUCCCAUUUCAGCUGAUGAAGCAUUAUUCAACUACUUUUAUGCAUAACAAACCAAUAGGAUGUUAAUUUUAAAUUUUAAAAGAUCUCAUUUUGAAGAUCCCAAUCAUUGAAGACUUCUUUGUUUCAUGGCUUAUCAACAUUUUAGGUAAAGAUAUUUUCAGGACCAUGAAGAACACAAGAAAACGUCAAGUUUAUGUAAUGUAAUUUGCAUUUCCAGUUAGAAUCAUAUUUGAAAUUUGAUGCAGUGUAAAUGAACAAACACAAAUUAUAUGUGUUUGUGUUUCUUUUGUGAACAAAAGAAACCAGACUUUGAGAAGCCAAGCAGUGGAUAUGAUAUAAGUCAGAAUCAUUCAGUCAAAGAUUCCUUCGCAAAUGCAUCUACUGGAGUGAAGACCUUGGCUUUGGAGUAUUACCAUCCUGAAUUCAAAUACUCUCUUCAAACCUUAGCUGUGUGACCAUCACAAAUUUGGCAGCUCCUUUGAUCAGUAUUAUUCCCCCCGCCCCAUGUGAAUACUAGCAUCUACUUUAUGAAGUGGUUGUGAAGAAUAGGGAAGACACCAUGAUUGUCAUAUAGUGAUGACUAACCAGUUGCACAUAUACCUUUUCCCAAGGUCCCCAACUAUGUUACAAGAGUGGGAAAAACAACAAUAACAAAGGAUGGCUAAGAAAUGGUUUCUGUCUUUGCAGGCAUCCCAGUCUAACUGCUACUGGAAGUGUGGGCCAGCAUGGUUGCUCCAUGUGGGGCUACAACCAUGCACUAACUUCACACAUUGACUGAGUAUAGGCUUGAAAAUUGAUUUGCCUGGGUAAUUCCUAGAUCUACCACCUACUUGCUCUGUAAAUUUAGGCAGGUUAUUUAACCCCUGUAAGGUUUUGUUUUCUCACCUUUAAAAUAAAGCUGAUAAGGAUAAUGGAAGCAUUUCUUUCAUACAUGUAUAUGUGUAGUUUAUGGACUCAGUGAAAAUCUUGUUAUAUUUACUACUUAAUAAUAAUUAAUCAGACAAACAGCAGUAUACUUGAAGUCAUUUUUAAAAACUUUUUUCCAGUUACCAGAAAUUUUGAGUUCUCAUACACAAGUCACACAAGCAUAGACAGGAAUGAUCUUUAUUAUAUUCCAUCUUUUUCAGACACUCAGACAAUGGGUUCUCAGUAAGCACCACAUUGGGGACACUGCAGUUAAUAUUAAUAGGAAGGAUGAUGACCUCUGUAUAGCCUCAGAGAAAAGAAAAAGUCAUCAGUUUUUAAUGCUCCUCUCAAGGAGCCUACCAUUGCCAUCUCUAAGUGCUCAGAACAUUAUCUUGCUACAGAUAUCUCCACCCUUGUGGCAGAGUCUACAUUAUUGUGGUAUCUAAUCAUAACACAGUGAAAUUCAUAUAUUUUACUCUAAUUAAUGUCAUUGUAAAGGGUGUGCUGUGAUGAAUAUAUGUAAAUAUCUCAUGAGUUUGACCAUGCUUUCAGCUCUGAACUCUGGCUUCCAGGAGUCAGUGCGAACUAAUUGAAUAACAGAAAACUCAUAAUUUAGCUACUGUAAAGAAACUGAAAGUGUCCUAUAAACUAUGCAACUAGGUCAGGAUACAUGAUUAUCUUUAGAAUAAAAUUUGAAGUAAUUCUCUAGUUUCUUUGUGUCUUCUGAAUAUUAGCUGAACAUAUUAAAUUGGAAGAAUGGACAUGUACAAGUUUGGAAAUGGAAGACACAUUUUAAAUGUAACUCCUUCAGCCUGCAGUGUCACACAUACUACUGAGGUCCUUAGUGGGUGCUCUGUAAAUGCUUGUUACCCCAAGAAAAACAUUGGAAGGUCACAAAGAAAAUGGGUAGGAUUCCUUUGUGCUCUUUUUUUCAGUUUUGUAUGGCUAUGUAUCCUCAGGCAAUGUCCUGGAUUUCUUUCUCUGAGCUGAGAGGGAUAACAUUCAUGUCUCCUCUCUCCCCUAAGGCCAGACCUUCAUCAAGUCCCAUUUAGAUUGCUACAACUGUGUUCUGCCUUGUCUGCCCUCUCCUGGUCUGCACAUACCCGCGAGAGUAGUCUCCCCAGAAUAUAGCUUUCAGAAUAUUACACUCUUAAAAGGGCUCUGAAAUGAUCUGAAAUACUUUUGCCUCGUCAAUAACAUAGUAGAUAAACAUAAGAUUAUAACUAAAGAUUCUAGUAAUGAAAAUGAAGCAUGUUAGUAAUAGUUAUUGAAAGUAAGGAAAAACCCAGCUUAAACUGACAAACAAACAGGCAAACAGAUUUUACUGACUAAGUCAAUUGAAAAGUCUAACCUGAUGUUUGGCUUCAAGAGCUCCAGGCUAUCAUGUUAAGGUUUGGUGUCUUUUGAUUUCUCAUCUCUUGGCCCCAUCUUCCUCAAUAAAUUGGCUUCAUUUGCAGAUAGGUUUUUCCCUCAUGGUUAUAUAGAUGGUUAUUAGCUAUCCUUGGCAUGUUUUUGUACAGAAGAAACGUGAAAUUCUCUUUUCUGAUGAUAUCCCCCAAUGUCUUGAGAUUCUCUUUCAUUGGACAAUUUUGGUCAUAUGACCAUCCCUAAACCAAUGGUUGUGACUAGGGGAAUGGAAUUCACUAGUAGGCUUGGGUCUAGAUAGCAUAUUCCACUCCUGGAGUUCCCUCAGAACUAGCAGAGACUGAAAGUGCUAGAUGAGAAGAUCCCUUAAUGAUGAUGAGAGAUUAUUUCCUGAAUUAGAGUGAAUGGUGACUAAACAACACAAAUAACAGAUGUAUAUGAGGUGCAUUUAUUAUCAAUUUAACCCCUUGUACACAGUGUUAGCACAACUUUUAAACUGGUGAACUUUAUGAAAUGUGGAGAUUUAGGUGGAUAUAAAAAUCAAACAAUGAAAAGCAUGUCAUUUUCUAUGAACUUUUUGUAAAAAACGUUUAAAGAACUGUACUCUGGUUACUCAGAAGAUCCUAAAAUGGCCUGUGAAUAAAUUACAAGAAAUCACAGAGGAUUUUCUGCCCAUCUCCUCCUACCCCCAAAACAAGAGAAAUAAAGGAAAGAAGAAAAAAAAAAGACUGUAGCUUUGAUGUGUGAUAUUUUAGAAGUUAAACAUAUUAUUCAAAAAAGGUAGGAAAUGGUAAAGUGGGAGUGAAAGAAGAUAAAACAACUUGUUUGUCAAUUAGUAAGAAAUUUGAGAAAAUAUUUUAAAUAUAAGAUCUAAAGAUUUAAUUUUUAAAUCACGUUUUAACUUCAAAAACAUAAAGUCUAUGCAACUUCUAAUAGUUAAGCUAAUUCUCGCCAUUUCAGCUCAAUAAGGCACAUGCUUCCAAUGCCACACAGAAGUUGUCAAGGUAGAGAAGGAAAAGAAAAAGAAACUUUUAUUCUAAGGUUUUAAAGAGAACGAGUUCUUUCAUACAAAUGGAAGUGCCUGUGGACUCUCAUCUGCAGAUUGCUCUUUAUCAGCGUUCAAUUCAACCCAAGGAACCAGGAACCGAGGAGGAAGGAAGUAAUUGACAUUCAAAGCCUCUAUUUUUAGACACCUUUACACUUUCUUUUGCUUCUAACUAGCAAGGAUUUUUCCAAACAAGCUUUUAAUUAGCAGGCUAGCUUCUUGACCUGACUGACCGUUGGUGCCCUUCAUUUAAUGCACCUCACAGCCUGGGAUCUUGACUCCUCUCCAUCCUGAAAAUCUGAAGUGAUUGCUUCUACAACUCUUGGACUUCAGUCUCCUGGACCUUUAACCUCAUUUACAUCCAGCUUUUUAUUGCCUAAGAAGACUGGGGCUUGCUUCGUUGCUUGGCUUUGCUGUGGAGCAGUCCUGUAAAGCCAGCUGAAUUGCACAUUGAAGAUCUACCCUUUGGUGAGUGGAAUCAUAGCUACAAUUUUGUGUUUUGCUCUGCCUCAUGUUGUUUGUAUUGUUGACCAAAGUGCUUUGAUACAGAGCACAAAAUAGGGCUUUUCCAGCUCCGUGUAGAAAAACUGGCUUUUUUU